rnacentral:rRNA from 1 species
UACGGGAGGCAGCAGUGGGGAAUAUUGCACAAUGGGCGCAAGCCUGAUGCAGCCAUGCCGCGUGUAUGAAAAAGGCCUUCGGGUUGUAAAGUACUUUCAGUCGUGAGGAAGGUGUUAAGGUUAAUAACCUUAGCAAUUGACGUUAGCGACAGAAGAAGCACCGGCUAACUCCGUGCCAGCAGCCGCGGUAAUACGGAGGGUGCGAGCGUUAAUCGGAAUUACUGGGCGUAAAGGGCACGCAGGCGGUUAAUUAAGUUGGAUGUGAAAUCCCCGGGCUUAACCUGGGAAUGGCAUUCAAGACUGGUUAGCUAGAGUCUUGUAGAGGGGGUAGAAUUCCAUGUGUAGCGGUGAAAUGCGUAGAGAUGUGGAGGAAUACCGGUGGCGAAGGCGGCCCCUGGACAAAGACUGACGCUCAUGUGCGAAAGCUGGGGAGCGAAACAGGGAUUAGAUACC